UUUAUGAUUAUUAAAUUAGCAUUUUUUGAUGUUUUUUUUUUUAUAUUUAAUGUGCAAAUCCUUGUGUUCUUUUUAGGGUAAUGUCAAACGGCAUCAUGAGUGAGUACAAUUUAAACGGGAAAAUGGAUAAGUUGUCUUUUCAAAAAACUAAUACAAUGAAGUUAAUCGUCGGCAUGUUAUUUUUAAUUAUUGCAAAAUUAGAUUAACAAAUUAUGGGAAAAUUUCCGAACACUUUUCUUGUUAAAUUCUAAAAUACGUUUUUAUAGCUCUGUUAAAAUUUGAGUCAGCAGGCAUAGGAAUCAUUCAUACAGCGAAUAGCUCUAUAAAUGGCAAAUUAGUUUAUUUACAUAAAUAUUGAAAUUAAAAUCUAGCAAUUGUUGCAAAGUCAAAGAAAUACACAGAAAAAGAUAGCAAACUUAGUAUUGGUGUGACUUUAAAACACGCUCCAUUGCGAAAAGGUGGUUUAAAAAAUCCAAUUAAUGAAAACUAUUACAAUGUCAAGAAAUUUAUGAAUUUAUAUGUUCUUUAAAUAUUGUAAAUCAUUAAAUAUUAUUUAAAUUAAUCUUUAAUAUUGUUUAAUCUUUUAAUAGUGUUUAAAAAGUAAUUUAUCUUAAUUCUUGUUUUUGUU